rnacentral:rRNA from 1 species
UCCUUGGUGAAUCAUAAUAACUUAACGAAUCGCAUGGCCUUGCGCCGGCGAUGGUUCAUUCAAAUUUCUGCCCUAUCAACUUUCGAUGGUAGGAUAGUGGCCUACCAUGGUAUCAACGGGUAACGGGGAAUUAGGGUUCGACUCCGGAGAGGGAGCCUGAGAAACGGCUACCACAUCCAAGGAAGGCAGCAGGCGCGCAAAUUACCCAAUCCCGACACGGGGAGGUAGUGACAAUAAAUACUGAUACAGGGCUCUUUUGGGUCUUGUAAUUGGAAUGAGUACAAUUUAAAUCCCUUAACGAGGAACAAUUGGAGGGCAAGUCUGGUGCCAGCAGCCGCGGUAAUUCCAGCUCCAAUAGCGUAUAUUAAAGUUGUUGCAGUUAAAAAGCUCGUAGUUGAACCUUGGGCCUGGCUGGCCGGUCCGCCUCACCGCGUGUACUGGUCCGGCCGGGCCUUUCCUUCUGGGGAACCUCAUGCCCUUCACUGGGCGUGUUGGGGAACCAGGACUUUUACUUUGAAAAAAUUAGAGUGUUCAAAGCAGGCCUUUGCUCGAAUACAUUAGCAUGGAAUAAUAGAAUAGGACGUGUGGUUCUAUUUUGUUGGUUUCUAGGACCGCCGUAAUGAUUAAUAGGGAUAGUCGGGGGCAUCAGUAUUCAAUCGUCAGAGGUGAAAUUCUUGGAUUGAUUGAAGACUAACUACUGCGAAAGCAUUUGCCAAGGAUGUUUUCAUUAAUCAGUGAACGAAAGUUAGGGGAUCGA